UGGCAUAGUGGUUAAGUGCUAUGGCUGCCAACCAAAAGGGUGGUAGUUCGAAUCUACC
rnacentral:tRNA from 1 species